GCCAAACGAAACGCGAAUUGCGUUAACAAUUGGAGAGUAACAAUCUCAGUCGGUAAAUGGUACUCCCAGUCUUACCAGAUAAUGCGAGUGCAACAGAAAAAGGCGUUGAACCUAUCCCCCACGAGAUGGCGCAGGCUUCCUGUUGCUAGAAUUCCGAUGCUUUUCCCCCCACUUGCGACGGCGCAGCUGGACAGUCGACGUUGCGGCUCUGUGGCGGUGCUGAACAAUAGUUGGACGAGCUUUUUCGAACGGAUUUGCACAAUCUGUUAUUGCGGGUGGGGGAACGGCGCAGAUGGUGGACGUCGGUCGUGAAACGGCGGAGUGCGUCGCGGUGGCCGGCGUAGUGGCGCCCUGCGUUGCGAUGCUGCUCGCCGUGACGCGUGGCGCUGCGGCGCUCUACGCUCUCAUCAGGAGUCCAAACCACUCGAGGAGCUAAGAGCGCCGGGACGUCACCGCGACGAGAGUUCCCACUCCUUACACAAGUCGUAACGAGAUAUCGAUUACACGCCGAGUCCGACAGGGAAGAUAUCGCGAUGCAUACACGGACGCGCGACGCGGUAUCGCAAAAUCUGAUGACCUACGCUUAAUUCUAAUUGAUCGCUAAGUGAUGUGAAACUUGAUAGUCCGAUUGCUAUAAAUAACGUAUGGUAUGCUGAAUUCAAUUAGUCAGCUUGUUUGCGGUCGCGAUUGCCAGCGAGGUGGUGUGGAUUGAUUCAAAAGUUGGCAAGAGGAGGAGGAGGAGGAGGAGGCAAGAUUAUUUCUUGCGCCCCCGAAGGCCAUCCCAGUGGCCUCGACGCCCCGCCGCCGGGUCCGUAGCCAUUUUUCCCAGCGGAACGGCGCCGCCGUCGUUCUCAUCGCGUGCUGUAGCCGGCGACCACGAAUCCCGAGGAGCCAGCUUGUUGUUAUUUUGCCGCGCAGGACCGCCCGCUCAGCCGCCAUAUAACCAGGAGAUCAGGAAGCCGAGGAGCUGCUGCGAGACGCCGGAGACCCCGACGAGGCUUAUACCGUCCUGAUCGGUUGUGAUUAAGGUGCUCGUCCCGACGGCUGAUUGGCCUCGCUAAGAUGCGCGCCUUGCCUAAAUUAUCGCCCGCCAGCCGACCCGGAAUUCCUGCCCUCCUGUCCUCCCGAUCGGCACAGGACGCGGAGGCCACGAAUCUAGGAGGUUAUCGCAUCCCGCCUCAUGGAAUCCUGAUUGCGAGAUUUACAACGUGUUAGACGCAGUGUUGGAGAUGUAAACACGGCAUCGCGGUUAACUGGCAUUCCACCGCAUGACUGAGAGUAAAACUAGUGGUUCUGAAAUAAAACCACCGAAAAUGUGCACAAGAAAAUAUUUGCUUACCGAACGGGUAGUGUGGAUACUAGAAAUAGAAAAGUCCUAGUAUCAACAGCUCUGGUAGUAGACGCUUAAGUCACAGAUUUGAGUGUCACAAUAAAAGCAUUGUUGUCAAUCUCCAUCUCGCCCAGUGUCAUUCUAAUACCCGCGACCAUGGAAUGCCAAAUAGUAACAAAAAGGCGUUGGGGAAGUUCCGGUUGAACGUAGUACAGGAUGUCUUUUUCGAAUCUCCAGACUUCGUCUUGACCCUCUGGUCUACACCUGGGUCAUUAAUGAUCCGACGACACUUUAAAAGUUACGAUCCUGCAAAGGAAAUCUUUCGCGCCUUGCUGUCUUCUUUAAAUACAUAUUUGCUGAACGUAAAUAUAGCAUUUGUGUUUCCAUAUUCUUACU
rnacentral:misc_RNA from 1 species